GUAAUUGUGUGUGUUCCAGUGUUUGUAUGUAAAUAAAAUAAAUUAGGUCCAGGCACUCAGGAUUUCUGCAGGAAGGCAGGUUUAUUGAAACAAGUAAUUGUGUGUGUGUUUGUGUUCCAAUGUUUGUAUGUGUCAUUGUCUGUGUCAGUACGGAUCACUGUGUGUGUCAGUUUGUAUCAAUGUGUGUGGGGCAGUAUGGAUCAAUGUGUGUGUGGCAGUAUGGAUCAAUGUGUGUGGGGCAGUAUGGAUCAAUGUGUGUGGGGCAGUAUGGAUCAAUGUGUGCCAGUGUUUGUUAAUGAGUGUAUAUAUGUACCAGUAUUUGUAUGGGUCACUGUGUGUGUCACCGCUGAACAUGGAUGCGGGCAGCAGAGCGGGCGGUGAUCGCAGGGAGAAGGUACUCUGUUUACCGCACCUCCCCGCCGCUGACUGGUGUUCUCCAAUGAGGAGACUUGGUACUUCCAGGAGAUACUCAGGCAGUCUUUCCAUCGCCCCUGACGCAGGUGAAUCAUUGCGUGCAGAUAAACACGCGUCAGGCAUCUCAGCAUCAUGUUUAUACUUGUGUUUAAUUAAUCACACAGUGCACCUUUGAUUGCACAUAAUGCAGUUCACUUUGUUUGAUUCUGCCA